CAGGGAAUAGUUUAUGGAGAAUGCCAGCUUUGGGGGUUGGUGGUGGGGUGCGAGCCUCUUCCUUGA
rnacentral:tRNA from 1 species